AGUCUUCUGAAUCUGUGCCGAGAUUUCGUCAGACAUCAGAACUGAUGAGAGUCCCAAGAUAAGUGAGGCG
rnacentral:pre_miRNA from 1 species